rnacentral:SRP_RNA from 1 species
GCCCAGUGUGGUGACACGUGCCCAUAGUCCCAGCUACUCGGUAGGCUGAGGCUGGAGGAUCGCUUGAGUCCAGGAGUUCUGGGCUGUGGUGUGCUAUGCCUAUCGGGUGUCCGCACUAAGUUCAGCAUCAAUAUGGUGACCUCCCGGGAGCAGGGGACCACCAGGUUGCCUAAGGAGGAGUGAACCGGCCCAGGUCAGAAACGGAGCAGGUCAAAACUCCCGUGCUGAUCAGUAGUGGGAUCGUGCCUGUGAAUAGCCGCUGCACUCCAGCCUGAGCAAUAUAGCAAGACCUCGUCUCU